CUGAGGAGAGCAGCAAUCCUGUUUGCUUGGUGUGACAGCAGUGGCCCACCAGCCUUGAAUUUUCUCUGAGAUGAGUUCAGUGAAGGUUAACAGCAUUUGACAUCUAUUUGUAAAAUGAAGAGGAAAACAGUGGGAGAAGAAGGACACUGGAACCUGUAAAAAUGUCCAAAAACUGCUCAUUGAGAAAACAGGGCUUUGGCUGCCCUUGGCAACAGCAUGGGAUUAUGGAUGAGGAACGACAGUAACUGUAAAGUGUAAAAUCCAUGUUGGUUUGAUGGAAUUACAGCCAAAAGCCUUUCCUUCAGCACAGUUCUGCUUGUCACUGUUGCACGUCUUGACAUUGCUGGAUUAAAUAAUUAUUAACUCAGGGAAAACAGAGCAGUAGUUUAAAUUUUUGAAUUAUAAGUUCCAGGUCAUAAUAAUUAUUCUGAAAACCAUUCAACUGCUAAAGAGGACAAGGGUUUAACCAUAUGGAGGAGGGUAAGCAGGAGGAGAAGCAGCCAGUUUGUAAUAUUCUAGUUAUGGAAAUUGGCUGGAAAACCAGGAAAUCCAACCACAUAGCCAUCCCUUCAGCCUGG